rnacentral:rRNA from 1 species
GCCUACGAGUGCCUUCAUUUUAUGAAGAGAAACAAAGCUUUGAAGCAUAGGAGUUGUGCUUUGAAGUUGGAUAUGAUGAAAGCCUAUGACAGAGUGGAGUGGGAUUACUUGGAAGCUAUAAUGCUCAAGUUGGGCUUCUCGCGGAUAUGGGUAGACAGAGUAAUGAGCAUGGUGAAGUCAGUUUCCUUUUCUGUCCUUUUUAAUGGGAAUAAACUCGAGGUUUUUAAACCUACCAGAGGUAUUCGGCAGGGAGACCCAAUAUCACCCUACCUUUUCUUGUUAGCAGCGGAGGGCCUCUCAGGCCUCCUCAAAUCCAGAGAUCAGUCGUCGCAAGUUGGUGGAAUUCAGGUGGCCCCCUCGGCGCCUCCGGUUAACCACCUAUUAUUUGCUGAUGAUAGCCUGCUGUUUUUCAAGGCAAAUGGUGCAGGGGCGACAGAGGUGUCAAACCUACUGAACUCUUAUUGUCAAGCUUCAGGUCAGAGGAUCAAUAGCAGCAAGUCCUCCGUUUUCUUCAGCAAAGGAUGUCCAGAGUCGACCAGGCAGGAGGUCAAAGGUAUACUCAAUGUGCAAACUGAAACACUUAAUGAAAAGUAUCUGGGCAUGCCGUCUGAUAUUGGAACAAGUAAAACUGGGGCUUUCAAGUAUUUAAAAGACAGGCUAUGGAAUAAGGUGAAGGGAUGGAUUGAAAAAGCAAUCUCUGCCGCAGGAAAAGAAAUUUUGAUAAAGUCUGUGGCGCAAGCAGUUCCGGUUUUUUCUAUGUCCUGUUUUAAAUUACCGAGGGGGUUGUGUGAACACUUAAAUAAACUCAUCCGACAAUUCUUUUGGGGGAGCAAAGAGGGGAAGAGAAAGCCUCACUGGGUCUCUUGGCAAACGAUGACACAACCAAAAAAGAAUGGAGGACUUGGUUUUAGAGAUCUUGAGCUCUUCAACCUUGCGUUAUUAGCACGUCAGGCCUGGAGGUUGUUGACUAUGCCUGACUCUCUAUGUGCCAAGUUACUCAAGGCAAUUUACUUUCCGGAGGUAAGCAUUAUGGAUGCAGAAGUGGGCUCUCACCCUUCGCAGGUUUGGCGGUCGUUGAUUGAGGGAAGGGACGUGCUAGCUCAUGGCCUGAUCCGAAGAAUUGGAGACGGGAGUUCGACAGAGGUUUGGACGCAUAACUGGAUUCCCAGGGAUACUUCUAUGAAACCUAUAGCCUGCUUGAGGCCGAACCCACCAAUCCUAGUGUCGGAGUUGAUUGAUGCUGCAAAUGUAGCGUGGCGAUCUGAUCUUCUACAACAGUAUUUCCUACCAAUCGAUAUUCAGUCCAUCACUAAUAUACCACUAUGCACCAUGCCUAUGGCAGAUUUUUGGGCUUGGCAGUUUGAGAAGAAGGACUCCUUUUCGGUAAGAUCUGCUUAUAGACUGCUAGCAGAAACAAAGAAGAGAGGAGAGGAUUUGCUUCAAGGCCGGGCGUCAGUAUCAAACAUGUCACAGGAGGAGAAGGGAUGGACUACACUUAGGAGUCCUAAGAUCCCUUCAAAAAUUAAAACAUUCUUAUGGAGGCUUGCUAAGCAAUCUUUGCCUACAGAGGAUGUCCGAAAACAGAGGCACAUGAGUAUCAUAGACAAGUGCCAAUUGUGUGGUACUGUUGACUCUUGGAAACACUCUUUAAUGGAGUGCUCGAUGGCGCGGUGUGUAUGGGCACUGGCUGAUGAAGAGAUAGUGGAAGUGAUGGCUGAUGCUACAGAACCUAGUGCCAAACAUUGGUUAUUUCAUGUCCAGGGGUCUUUAUCACAUGCUGAAUUCGUGGAGGUGGCAGUCACCUUGGGGGCGAUAUGGACAGCCAGGCGCAAGGCAAUUCACGAGGAAGUCUAUCAGAGUCCAUUGGCAACGCACAAGUUCGUGAAACAUUUUCUGGCGGAGCUGGAGACCAUCAGUACGUUGUCCCAGAGGACGCUACAGAGACCAGCAGUUCGGGCUGCUGUGCAACAACGGACGAAAUGGAUUCCACCGCCAAAUGGAUUCAUGAAAAUCAAUGUUGAUGCAGCAUUGUCUGACACGAGUCUAGGAGCGGCAGCAGCAGUUUGCCGAGACAGCACAAGCUUGUAUUUGGGCUCGUCGGCUGUAGUGAUUCAAGGAGCUAUUGUUCCAGCAGUAGUAGAAGCUAUAGCUUGCCGUGAGGCACUCUCGCUUGCACAUGACCUUUCACUUCAGUAUUUCGUUGUGGCAUGCGAUUGCAAAACAGUAGUUGAUAACAUUCAGAAAGGAAAGGGAGGAACGUAUAUGUCAGUCAUCACGGAAAUAUUCAUCCGUACUUCUCUUUUUAAUAGCUGUAAUUUUAUUUUUGAAGGGAGAGCAUCGAACUUAGAUGCACAUAAACUUGCAAAAGAUUCAUUAGCACUUGAUCGGGGUCGCCACCUGUGGCUGAUUCACCCCCAUGAC